GAAGUUUUCACAUUCCUCCGCAGUGUUGCGGAUCUGCAGGCUAGUGGGCAAGAAGGCGAGCGAGGCGGCGGAAACUUAAGUGGAAACAAAUGUGAAGGUGACCCAGCUGGUGCCGCGAAUGGAAUCCAGGAGGCAGACAGGCGGCCCGUCCAGGGACUGGGGAAUCCGUUGAGAAGUUGCAUUAACUCUGACAUUUGGGUCCAAGAGAAAGAGACAGAAAACAUCUGCAUAUGGAGUAAUAUUAGCUACAGUUGGUGUCUCAAGUGAGAAUCCGCCUGACAGCCCCAUUUAUUAUAUCUGGGUAGGCUUUAUUACGGAGACGCUCCCAUUUGAACUUUCCCUCUGCAAGAUUCUCUUUUUGGUGAGUGUGAACAAG